AACGAACGCUGGCGGCAUGCCUAACACAUGCAAGUCGAACGAGACCUUCGGGUCUAGUGGCGCACGGGUGCGUAACGCGUGGGAAUCUACCCUUGGGUUCGGAAUAACAGUUAGAAAUGACUGCUAAUACCGGAUGAUGACGUAAGUCCAAAGAUUUAUCGCCCAAGGAUGAGCCCGCGUAAGAUUAGCUUGUUGGUGGGGUAAUGGCCUACCGAGGCGACGAUCUUUAGCUGGUCUGAGAGGAUGAUCAGCCACACUGGGACUGAGACACGGCCCAGACUCCUACGUGGGGCAGCAGUGGGGAAUAUUGGACAAUGGCCGAAAGCCUGAUCCAGCAAUGCCGCGUGAGUGAUGAAGGCCUUAGGGUUGUAAAGCUCUUUUACCAGGGAUGAUAAUGACAGUACCUGGAGAAUAAGCUCCGGCUAACUCCGUGCCAGCCGCCGCGGUAA
rnacentral:rRNA from 1 species